UCCAAUUCUGUGUGUCACGUUUCUUCCAGACGAUACGGUGAGGAAGAGUCUCAAAGAAAAGGAGGCGGCCGGUCGCUGAGAGGUGGACGAGAGGAAUGACCAAUGGAAGUCCAUGAUCCCCGUUCACUCCAAAUUCUUCGAUGACCAGAACAUCUCAGUGCUUUCGUAAUUAUAUCUCUCCUCUCUCUCCUCUCUUUCUUCCCCCUCUCGCUUUUCGUUCUUCCGCCGGGUUUUGAAUGAAUGCUAAGGGUUUCUGUCCGAGGGUUUCGUCUUGUUUCACUUUUUUGAGUUUAAUUAUUUCUUAUUCCAAUGAGGGUUUUCAUCGAUUCUUGGAGGGUUUUAGUUUAGGGGAUUUGAUUCUUCGUUGGUUCUUCUUUUUCUUGAUUCCUAGAGGAUCUUGGUGCAUUGCCGGUGGACGUGACGGUACUUUAGAUCAGGUGAAGGAAGUAUGGACCUUGUCGAUGAUGGUGGCUUGGAUGGGGAGGACUCUGAUGGACGUGUUGAUGAGAGGAGAUGAUCAAGAGGAUCUGGGGUGUGGUGAUGGAAAGAGAUAACAGGAAGGAAGUAAAGGAAUAGGAUAUUGUAAGGAGAUAUGCAAGAGAUAAGAAAAUUUCCUUUGUUUAUAUGCUGCUUAUUUUAGAAUUUUCUGUUAACAAAUUCUCAAACCUCAGGGGACUCUGUUGGAAGAGUUCAGCUGCAAAUGUAUUCUGUUCUAAUAUUUUAUCUUAGAAAAUCUGAAAAUAAUGUAUUUUGAUGCCAAUGAACUUAGUUUUAUAUCACUACUGUGUUUGCGAUAAUAUUGUGGAUAAUAUUUCUUGCAGUUCUAUUCUAUUUCAUUCAGUGUCACACAAAAUCACAUAAUCUAUUCUUGUUCUUCUUCACAUAUGAUGUUUGUUUGUAUAGGAACAAUAUUUUCAUAUAUUCUUUUCUUUAAAUCCAUUGGUAGUGUGAACUAUAUAUGUAUCUGGGAGCAGUGUUUUUUCUUUCUUACACCUGAAUCUUUUAAUCUUAUCUAGGUCCGAAAGUGGGUUGGAUUAUAUCUGACAGUAUCUGUUUAUGUAUCCGAUUUGAGUUGAAUUUGGAUACUAUUUUUUUAGUCCGAUCGGAUCCGGAUUCGGAUAAUCCAUUCAAAAAUCUUCCGGAUACGGAUGUGGAUGCAGAUAUACCUGAUUUUUCUGGAUUCGGAUCCGAAUCCGGAUAUCUAUAUAAUAAAGGUAAGUGAAAAGAAGAAGUUUAAGUUAAAUUAAAUUGGGAAACUAAUUAAGCGAUAACCAAACCUAAACUAAAAGGAACUCAGAUAUCGAAUGACCGUCACUUAAGAUAGUAGCCCGAAUACGGCAUAUCCGAUUCGAAUAAAAUUCUUCGAAUCACCCCGCAUAAGCGAAAGGCUCAAACUUCUUGUUCGUUCGUUUUGUCCCUUUUUUUUCUUUUCGUCGUCUUUAAGCAAUUAGGGUUUGAAAGAUCCCAUCUACUUUCUAGUUUCUACCUAGUGAUUGCAACCGACGACAGUCGUGAGAUGCUUUAGAGGCGUUAUAGAUCCGGUCUACUUUGGUGACGAACAAUUUUGAGUAGUAUAUUCUUUAUGAAAUUAUUAGUUUUUAUUAUUGAUAAAUGCUUGUUAAAAUUAUAUUUGUUUUAAUUGAAUCUUUCUUUUAUGAUCAUAUCUUUAUUGCUAGUUUCUAUUAUUGAAUUUUGCUCAAAUUUGAUAAAUAUCCAAAAAAGUAUCUGAUUUAUAUCUGUAUUCGGAUGAGAAAAUAUGUAUAUGUUUAAUAUCCGAUUAGCAUUUGUUACCGUUUAGAACAAAUAUGGAUAUGCUUAAUAUCCGAUUCGUAUCCGUAUCCGUUUAGAACAAAUAUGGAUAUUAAUUUGAUAUCCAUUUAAUAUUCGUAUCCAUAUCCUUAUUUGUUAAAAAAUAUGGAUAUAUCAAUAUCCGAUCUAUAUCCGAUCCGUUUUCAGCCCUAAUCUUAUCUCUGUGAAACUGAGGAGAAUUUACUACAUUGGACUUUUUUUUCAAGUUUUCUUUUAUAUCGGUCUUGAGUUCCAUUUAUUUUCUUUCACUUCUUGGGAAGAAAAAUUCAUAUUGCUAAUGAUCUCUGUCAGUUUAAUUUUGACCCUUUUUAACUUAAAUUUCUUGAGGUUCUUUAAACCUAUUAUCUUGUUACAUUCAUAUUUCUAAUGAUCUCUAUCACUUCUUAGCUUGUUACAUUCUUCAUUUUGCUAUUCUUGUACAUAAUUAUCUCUUUAAAACUAUUAUUUGUCUCAUAGUUUGUUCUGGGAAACUGUUUCUUCAGUUGUUGAAACCAUAAUUACUAUCUGGACGCAUUGUGUAGCUUUGUGCAUUUAAUAGUUUUCACUACAAUUUUCCAACCAUAAUGUGAUAAAACUAUAUCUGAGUUUCUGCUUUGUUUUUCUAAUGUUUCAUUGGUCAGUCUACUGGAAUGGGUAGAAAUGGUGCGUGAUUUCUACCCCUGCUCUGUUCCAUAUUGGCUUGGAGGCAGGGUCUUGGUUAGUUUUCAACUGGUUGGAAUUAAGACAGGAAUUACUGUACUGGAACUCGAUAAAACUCUGAAAGCUCACCGAAAGAAGAGGUGGUGAUACACAAAAUCAGUGUCUCCGACUGAAUGUAAAUUGUGAAAGGUGCGUUCAGUGCAAGGAGGGACCAUGUCUGUGCAUUGGUCUCAGUAAGGAUAAACAGGCAGUGACUUGUUCCUCAUUCUUUUUCUUUUCUUUUUCAAAUUUUAACUCUUUUGGAGGGCUUACAGCUUUCUAUACUUACAUUACUUUUUCUUUUCUACUAGCACUUGAUUAUCCGAGGCUGUAAUUUCAUUUAUGAUUAUUAUUAGUCAUAAUUAAUAUUUGUGUCUAAUUUGUGCGCUGCUGCAAACUUUCAGGACAAGAAUGUCAAUAUGGGGUUCUCUGGAGUGGAUGAGCAUCCAUAAUGAAGUGCAGAAUUUUCAAGGCACAGCACAAGACUGUAAUUGUAACUACCACCAAAAGAGAAUUUCCUGCCACUGCUACUCAUGAUCCUGGUAUUUGCAAUAAAUAUUGUCAUUUUAUGCUAUCAUCAUGCUGCAGUUUAUUUGAAUCAAUGCUGUCUGUGAUUUAAAUAUGCACCAGCAUCCCCAUAACGUACUAACGAGUUUCAGUUUACAUAUGCACUCUUUCUGUCAUAUGUCUUUAUGUGAUUGAGGGCAGGGCAUCAGUAAUCUAGCUCGUAUGAUGCAAGUGGAUGGCAGAUCUGAGCACCCAAGGGUGUCCUUCUGUCAAUGAAUGCCGGUCAUAUCCUUAAACGGAUGUCUGUAAAAGGGGAACUGCAUGUGAUUUGUCGUGAAAAAUAUGGUGAACAAAUAUGAGGGGUGGUUAGGUUGCUGAGAAGGGUCUGAUGAGGGGUUAAUGAGGAAAGCAUGGAAAAGAGUCCGGGAGCAUUACAGAAUUAGAUGAGAACAAAGGAGAAAAAGAAAACAAAAUUUACUGAUGCAAUUUCCCCUCUUCUUUUUGGGGUAUGGUGCAAUGUUGGCACUUUGAAUGAUAUACGGGGGUGAAAUUUUAACCGAAUAGAGGGCAAGGGGUAAAGGCUGUGUGCCGUACGUACACAAUGUUGGUGCCAUGGAAGGAUGGGGAGGACUCUGAUGGUAGUAGUGAUGAGAAAAGAGGAUGAGGAUCUUAGGGGUGGUGAUGCUAGAAAGGGAUGAUGAACGGAUAGCAAAGAAUAGGAGAUUGAUAAUAAGAUAACGAGGUAAAAAAAUUUCAGUUGUUUAUACAUUCGUUAUUUUAACAUUUAUCUUUGCCAAAGUAAUAAACUUAUUCUAUGGAUAAUUUCUCCAAAGUAGGAGGCUGUGUUUGAAAAGUUAGGUGAAAAUGCACUAUGUUGUAAUAUAUUAUUUAAAAUAUCUGAAAGUAAUGUACUUUGAUGUCAGUGAACUUAGUAUCAAUAUGACUGAUGCAUUCAAGACGAUAUUUUACCUUUCUCAGCCUCUUACUUUUUAUUUAUAAAUUUAAGACGAACUGAAACAAUGUAGAUAUUGUGCCUGCUCUGUGUCUCGUUUGCUUGGAGGCAUAGUCUUGGUAAACUUUCAAGCGAUGAAAAGCAAGAAUAAAGUUGAUGUAUUGGAACUCGACAAAACCUUGAUAGCCCAUCAAAGAUAGAUGUGGCGCCAUGGUAUUAUAUCAUUAUUUAUACUUCAUGCACUCACAGCCAGCUGAAGCAAGUGACUUACGAACUGACAACUAGCAACUACUGGUAAUAUAGCUUCCUAGGUUAGAAAAUUUAUACCUUAGCAAUAGUGAUAGGAUGAGCAAUGACGUACCUAUUUUUGCUUUGUUGUCUGUUUUUCUUGUGUAUACCAUACACAUCAGACGUUGGAUUCUUUUUCCUAAUCCAAGAAUCAUAGUAAGUUUAGAAUCAUUAUUUUGUAUGAUU